GACGAACGCUGGCGGCGUGCUUAACACAUGCAAGUCGAACGGAAAGGCCCUGCUUUUGUGGGGUGCUCGAGUGGCGAACGGGUGAGUAACACGUGAGUAACCUGCCCUUGACUUUGGGAUAACUUCAGGAAACUGGGGCUAAUACCGGAUAGGAGCUCCUGCUGCAUGGUGGGGGUUGGAAAGUUUCGGCGGUUGGGGAUGGACUCGCGGCUUAUCAGCUUGUUGGUGGGGUAGUGGCUUACCAAGGCUUUGACGGGUAGCCGGCCUGAGAGGGUGACCGGCCACAUUGGGACUGAGAUACGGCCCAGACUCCUACGGUAGGCAGCAGUGGGGAAUAUUGCACAAUGGGCGGAAGCCUGAUCCAGCAACGCCGCGUGCGGGAUGACGGCCUUCGGGUUGUAAACCGCUUUCGCCUGUGACGAAGCGUGAGUGACGGUAAUGGGUAAAGAAGCACCGGCUAACUACGUG
rnacentral:rRNA from 1 species